CUAAACCAUCAAAGAUAAUUUGUUUACAGAUGAACUAUCAGAGGGAAGUUGAUGGUUCCCAUUUUUGUGGUUUUGCUUCCUCCACCAUGACUUUUUAAACUGACUAAAUGACAUUCGUCGCGUGUCAUCGCAGAACGGUAGAACCAUGAGCAGACAAACAGUGAACAUACAAUUUUGUUUUCUACUGGUCUGUUUGUUCCUUAAAACAGCAUUUCUCCAGGUCACAUGUGAACUGAAGUUCCAGAUUGUAAAGCCAGUCUCACUGGUUGGUGAGGAGGUCCAAAUGAUCUGUGACGGACCAUGUUCUUCAUUCAACUACACCUGGUGUCAUCUGAACGAGACCAAAUAUACAGGCAUCGUUUACAUUUUACAUGUCACCCUUGAGAACUCUGGAGAAUACAAGUGCUCAUGUUAUAUAAAUGGAAAUGUGUGCUACAGUAAAGCAGUCAAUCUGACUGUUGUAGAGAGACUCUCCAAGGUGUGGGUGUCUUCCACAGCCCUGGCCAUAGUGGAGGGACAGAGUCUCACCUUGCACUGCGAAGCCGCCUCCCAGCCCUCCUCUGUGGCCUGGACAUGGACGCGGCUGAACGAGAGUGGCGGGUGGAGCGCCGUGAGUGCCGAGCAAGAGCUGACCCUGACCAGGGCAGGCCAGAGUGGCCAGUACCAAUGCCACGCCUACAGCAAUGUCCUGGGCCUCACGCAGAGCCAGAACAGCUCCGUUCACUCAGUCUACAUCAUCUCCUUCCCCCUGACGGGCAGUGUGAAUGCAGGAGUGGCCGGCCUGGGCCUGGCUCUCCUUGCCCUGGUUUCUCUGCUCCUGCUGAUGAUGUGGCGAGGGCGGCAGCUGGCCAAUGAGUCUCUGGCCGCAGGGGGCACUCUAGCCAAAGGUGAAUCACACCGUCUGGAGAAGUCCAUCGACACCUUGUACCAGAACCCCAGGGUGCAUUUGGCUUAUCCACGGGAGAAAACGGACAAAACCGGACUUGCUGGACCUACAAAAGCACAAAAGGGGAGACAGUGCCAAGGUCAGACUGGAGAUACAGGAGAAAUCUACAUGAACUGUGGCAGAAUUACACAGACUUGUCACCAGCUUACAUAAUAGGUGAAGAUAACUAUGCCAGCUUGUCUUGAUUGUAGAUUAAGGUACUUGCACAAGAACUGAAACAGGGUAUGCAAAACCUACCGCUAGGGAAUACCAGACCAACUUGACAAACCACUGAAAUGGAAGAAGGGAUAAUUAUGUUGGGCACUGCCAAACCCUGUGGGGUAGUUUCUCAGACCAAUAUAAAACAUCUAGCACUAAAAACAGUUCCAACUGAGAUACUCUGUUGUCAGGCUUUCUUUUCCAGGACGAUGUAUCGUCUGCGUCUGGGUUGCUGUCUAGGGCCCGAAAAGUUAGUUUGUUUCAUAUUUGAUGAAAAACCACUUGACUAGAAAGAUGUGUGGCUUUAAAGAUUUUCUUUUACUCACCUUUUCAUUUUUGUUUGUCUGUGUUAAUGAUUUGCAAGAGGGGGGAGAUUGGUAUUUUCUGUAAUAUUUUAAUAGUAGCUUUAAAUAAAAAUAAAAAAUGCAAGAAACAAGAAA
ensembl:lncRNA